AUUGAACGCUGGCGGAAUGCUUUACACAUGCAAGUCGAACGGCAGCACGGGGGCAACCCUGGUGGCGAGUGGCGAACGGGUGAGUAACACAUCGGAACGUGCCCAGUCGGUGGGGGAUAACGUAGCGAAAGCUACGCUAAUACCGCAUACGAACUCUGGUUGAAAGCGGGGACUCGCAAGGGCCUCGCGCGAUUGGAGCGGCCGAUGGCAGAUUAGGUAGUUGGUGGGGAAAGGCC
rnacentral:rRNA from 1 species